UCGAGCGGAUUGUGAGAAGUUGCUUCUCUGAUGGUUAGCGGCGGACGGGUGAGUAACACGGCGACCUGCCCUCAAGUUUGGGACAACUACCGGAAACGGAGCUAAUACCGAAUAUUGUUUUCUUCGCCUGAAGAGAACUGGAAAGACGGACAAUCUGUCACUUGGGGAUGGGCCUGCGGCGCAUUAUAGUUGGUGAGGUAACGGCUCACCAAGGCGACGAUGCGUAGCCGACCUGAGAGGGUGAUCGGCCACACUGGGACUGAACACGGCCCAGACUCCUACGGGAGGCAGCAGGGGAAUCUUCCGCAAUGGGCGAAAGCCUGACGGAGCAAUGCCGCGUGAGUGAUGAAGGUUUUCGGAUCGUAAAGCUCUGUUGCCAGGGAAGAACGCUUGGGAGAGUAACUGCUCUCAAGGUGACGGUACCUGAGAAGA
rnacentral:rRNA from 1 species